rnacentral:rRNA from 1 species
AGUGGCGGACGGGUGAGUAACGCGUGAGAAUCUGCCUUGGGGUCGGGGACAACCACUGGAAACGGUGGCUAAUACCGGAUACGCCUUCGGGUAAAAGAUUUAUUGCCCUAAGAGGAGCUCGCGUCUGAUUAGCUAGUUGGUGAGGUAAGAGCUCACCAAGGCAGCGAUCAGUAGCUGGUCUGAGAGGACGAUCAGCCACACUGGGACUGAGACACGGCCCAGACUCCUACGGGAGGCAGCAGUGGGGAAUUUUCCGCAAUGGGCGAAAGCCUGACGGAGCAAGACCGCGUGAGGGAGGAAGGCUCUUGGGUUGUAAACCUCUUUUCUCAGGGAAGAAGCUCUGACAGUACCUGAGGAAUCAGCCUCGGCUAACUCCGUGCCAGCAGCCGCGGUAAUACGGAGGAGGCAAGCGUUAUCCGGAAUUAUUGGGCGUAAAGCGUCCGCAGGUGGCGAUUCAAGUCUGCUGUCAAAGCACGGGGCUUAACUCCGUAAAGGCAGUGGAAACUGAAUAGCUAGAGUGCCGUAGGGGUAGAGGGAAUUCCCGGUGUAGCGGUGAAAUGCGUAGAGAUCGGGAAGAACAUCGGUGGCGAAAGCGCUCUACUGGACGGCAACUGACACUCAGGGACGAAAGCUAGGGGAGCGAAUGGGAUUAGAUACCCC